CGGCACGCUCUGUGGGCCUAAAAUGCCUUGACGUUCGAGCACUUCGGGAGCUAUACCGGCGGACAGCCGGAUGCGGGUAGCUUGGCCGUUCCUUGCUCUGCGCAUCGCUUGAAAACCGGCGGUCAUCCUGCAGUGUACGCUGCCAGCGUGCUUUCUUGCCAGAGCCUGUCCUACCAGAUUUCUUUGGCAACAAACCAGACCAAAUUCUCGGCAAUGCUUUAACAAAGAAAUUGUUGCAGCCGCCUCCCCUGCUGGUGAUGACCAUAUGCAGCCAAUGCUGAUGUGAACCCGAGUGACGAACAAAUGCAGAUCUGCAAAGGAGCUGUCCUGAGGCACCAUGCUUACUCAAGUCAUGCAGCGAGAGUCAGCAUGCCUGGAAAAGUACAUCAAAGCACACCCCAUCUGGCUGACUGCACUACCUCAAGAAAACUGCCUUUCUCCAAUCUGCAAGUUCCUAAGAAGUUACUUUAUGAAGCAAGCCAGCAGGGCGUACGUGUUAGGCAUG
rnacentral:lncRNA from 1 species